GUAGGUGGCAAGCGUUGUCCGGAAUUAUUGGGCGUAAAGCGCACGCAGGGUGGUUCUUUAAGUCUGAUGUGAAAGCCCCCGGGCUCAACCGGGGAGGGUCAUUGGAAACUGGGGAACUUGAGUGCAGGAGAGGAAAGUGGAAUUCCACGUGUAGCGGUGAAAUGCGUAGAUAUGUGGAGGAACACCAGUGGCGAAGGCGACUUUCUGGCCUGUAACUGACACUGAGGCGCGAAAGCGUGGGGAGCAAACAGGAUUAGAUACCCUGGUAGUCCACGCCGUAAACGAUGAGUGCUAAGUGUUGGGGGGUUUCCGCCCCUCAGUGCUGCAGCUAACGCAUUAAGCACUCCGCCUGGGGGGUACGGUCGCAAGACUG
rnacentral:rRNA from 1 species